CUGAUCAGCCUCACCUGGGCAUUCACCCUCCGCCAGGAGCUCUGUUUGAGGUUAGGCAUGGAGGCAGAGUCUUUCCUAGAGUUACACUAUAGGUAGGUUUGUCUCUUUUCCUGUCUCUGGGAAGGAUCUUGGACCCAUGCUGCAAUUUCAGCCACUGCUGCUCCUUCCCCUUGCUGUGUCUGGGGAUGAACUGUUGGUAGCCCCUUGUGCUGCCCACCCUGCUCAGGACCCUGGGUCCCUGGCAGCUCCAUGCUCCUUUGCGUCUUGCAGAGAAGCUCUGCUUUUCCUGUUUCCUGAUGUGGAACCUGUUUCUGGCCCCAUGGCGUUACGUACAUUUAAGGAAUCAAAACUAUUCCAAUCAGUUCCUCCCACGAAGCUACAGAAGAGCUAAAGGGAACAGUGCAUGCUUCGUGUGAAUGAAGAACAUUGCUGAUCCACAGCUAGG